rnacentral:rRNA from 1 species
CUACGGGAGGCAGCAGUGAGGAAUAUUGGGCAAUGGGGGAAACCCUGACGCAGCAACGCCGCGUGCGGGAUGACGGCCCUAGGGUUGUAAACCGCUUUCAGCAGGGACGAAACCAGACGGUACCUGCAGAAGAAGCCCCGGCCAACUACGUGCCAGCAGCCGCGGUAACACGUAGGGGGCGAGCGUUGUCCGGAUUUAUUGGGCGUAAAGAGCUCGUAGGCGGCUUGGUAAGUCGGCUGUGAAAGCUCCGGGCUCAACCCGGAGAGGCCAGCCGAUACUGCCAUGGCUAGAGUCCGGUAGAGGAGCGUGGAAUUCCCAGUGUAGCGGUGAAAUGCGCAGAUAUUGGGAGGAACACCAGUAGCGAAGGCGGCGCUCUGGGCCGGAACUGACGCUGAGGAGCGAAAGCGUGGGUAGCAAACAGGAUUAGAAACCCGGGUAGUCC